AUUGAACGCUGGCGGCAUGCUUUACACAUGCAAGUCGAACGGCAGCACGGGCUUCGGCCUGGUGGCGAGUGGCGAACGGGUGAGUAAUGCAUCGGAACGUACCGUGUAAUGGGGGAUAACGUAGCGAAAGUUACGCUAAUACCGCAUACGCCCUGAGGGGGAAAGUGGGGGACCGCAAGGCCUCACGUUAUACGAGCGGCCGAUGUCGGAUUAGCUAGUUGGUGGGGUAAAGGCCUACCAAGGCGACGAUCCGUAGCGGGUCUGAGAGGAUGAUCCGCCACACUGGGACUGAGACACGGCCCAGACUCCUACGGGAGGCAGCAGUGGGGAAUUUUGGACAAUGGGCGCAAGCCUGAUCCAGCCAUGCCGCGUGCGGGACGAAGGCCUCGG
rnacentral:rRNA from 1 species